rnacentral:tRNA from 1 species
AGCUGGAUAGCUCAGUUGGUAGAGCACCGGAACAGUAAUCCGGAGGUCGCAGGUUCAAACCUGCUCCAGUCA